UACGAAGGGGGCUAGCGUUGUUCGGAAUUACUGGGCGUAAAGCGCACGUAGGCGGAUAUUUAAGUCGGGGGUGAAAUCCCGGGGCUCAACCCCGGAACUGCCUUCGAUACUGGGUAUCUUGAGUUCGGAAGAGGUGAGUGGAAUUGCGAGUGUAGAGGUGAAAUUCGUAGAUAUUCGCAGGAACACCGGUGGCGAAGGCGGCUAUCUGGCCCAAUAUUGACGCUGAGAUGCGAAAAGCGUGGGGGAUCAAACA
rnacentral:rRNA from 1 species